AAUCUUGGAUUGGAAGAUAAAAUUUGUCACUCACAGUGAGCCCAUCCUCCUCUAGGCGUGGGAGGUGGACAAGCCUCAGAACAAUUGGUAAAACAGACAGGAGAAAAAUUUUACGAUGUGAGGAGAGAGGCCAUAUUGUGAAAAGAGCUCACUUCACCUUAGCUGUUUUCACAAAAGAAAUGCUAUCACUAGAUGAUGCCCACUCAAUACAAGAACACUGUGUGGUGUAUGAUGUGUUGUACAAAGUUUGCGUAGAAGUGGGAGACUACAAGCUUAUCGGGACGACUUAUAGAUUGCAGAGAACUUGAUCAAACGCCUUCAUGCAACUAUUCCUUGAUGGGAACUUGUGACAUCAUGCCAAUUGGCUUGUUGGAAUAUCUGUCCAGUUUCAAAAUGGCUCCAGUGGUUAGAAACCGGUGUUGGCAUGGCAGAAUGGUUUUAUGGAACUGCAAGCAUAUGACAGCUUAAUUUUCUUUCACAUGGUUGUGAGGCCAGUUUGCAGUACUCUGGCGUUUUUGUCCUCUCACCCAGACCUAUUUUUCCAUGUGUGAGGAUAUGGUUGAAGUGAUUUUCGUGUACUGGGGGUUUGAAGUUCCCCCAUGAUUCCUGAGCACCAGACCAGAUCGGAACCAAGUGUAAGCUAACAAUUCCUUGAGGGAGCACUGAGGAGGUUACACCGUGCAGUGUUGUGAGAGAAGCAAGCAAUUCAGCGCGAAGUACAGGUGUUUUCCAGUUGGAGUAUGUGUGUUUUGUGUAACUGCUGCUCUCACAACUUGUGUACCCGUGGAAAGGGAUUGUCCUUGGCGUUCCUGUUUGAACUAUAAGCCUGGCUAUUUAAUAAAAUGAUAUUAAAGUUUCUGAUUAUCUGUUCUAUUAAUAAAGUUGUCACUGAUCUUA